rnacentral:rRNA from 1 species
UACAGGGGAAUAGCCCAGAGAAAUUUGGAUUACUGCCCCAUAAUAUAUGUUUUUCGCAUGUUAGACAUAUUAAAGUUCCAACGGUAAAAGAUGAGCAUGCGUCCCAUUAGUUAGUUGGUAAGGUAACGGCUUACCAAGACGAUGAUGGGUAGGGGUCCUGAGAGGGAGAUCCCCCACACUGGUACUGAGACACGGACCAGACUCCUACGGGAGGCAGCGGUGAGGAAUAUUGGACAAUGGGCGCAAGCCUGAUCCAGCCAUGCCGCGUGCAGGAAGACGGUCCUAUGGAUUGUAAACUGCUUUUGUACGGGAAGAAACACUCCUACGUGUAGGAGCUUGACGGUACCGUAAGAAUAAGGAUCGGCUAACUCCGUGCCAGCAGCCGCGGUAAUACGGAGGAUCCAAGCGUUAUCCGGAAUCAUUGGGUUUAAAGGGUCCGUAGGCGGUUUGGUAAGUCAGUGGUGAAAGCCCAUCGCUCAACGGUGGAACGGCCAUUGAUACUGCCGAACUUGAAUUAUUGGGAAGUAACUAGAAUAUGUAGUGUAGCGGUGAAAUGCUUAGAGAUUACAUGGAAUACCAAUUGCGAAGGCAGGUUACUACCAAUGGAUUGACGCUGAUGGACGAAAGCGUGGGUAGCGAACAGGAUUAGAUACCCUGGUAGUCCACGCCGUAAACGAUGGAUACUAGCUGUUGGUGGCAACAUCAGUGGCUAAGCGAAAGUGAUAAGUAUCCCACCUGGGGAGUACGAACGCAAGUUUGAAACUCAAAGGAAUUGACGGGGGCCCGCACAAGCGGUGGAGCAUGUGGUUUAAUUCGAUGAUACGCGAGGAACCUUACCAAGGCUUAAAUGCAGACUGACCGAUUUGGAAACAGAUCUUUCGCAAGACAGUUUACAAGGUGCUGCAUGGUUGUCGUCAGCUCGUGCCGUGAGGUGUCAGGUUAAGUCCUAUAACGAGCGCAACCCCUGUUGUUAGUUGCCAGCGAGUAGUGUCGGGAACUCUAACAAGACUGCCAGUGCAAACUGUGAGGAAGGUGGGGAUGACGUCAAAUCAUCACGGCCCUUACGCCUUGGGCUACACACGUGCUACAAUGGCCGGUACAGAGAGCAGCCACCCCGCGAGGGGGAGCGAAUCUAUAAAGCCGGUCACAGUUCGGAUCGGAGUCUGCAACUCGACUCCGUGAAGCUGAAUCGC